rnacentral:misc_RNA from 1 species
UACGGGGGGGGCAAGCGUUGUUCGGAAUUACUGGGCGUAAAGGGUGCGCAGGCGGCUUCGGAAGUCCUGGGUGAAAGCCCCCGGCUCAACUGGGGAAGGUCCUGGGAAACCACGGAGCUGGAGUGCUGGAGAGGGAAGCGGAAUUCCUGGUGUAGCGGUGAAAUGCGUAGAGAUCAGGAGGAACAUCGGCGGCGAAGGCGGCUUCCUGGACAGACACUGACGCUGAGGCACGAAAGCCAGGGGAGCAAACGGG